rnacentral:tRNA from 1 species
GGCAAGGUAGUCUAAAGAGUAAAGAGAAGAUGGUAGGUUGUGAUCCUUCAGUUGUGCCGUCAGGCUCCCUUGCUA